rnacentral:rRNA from 1 species
AACGAACGCUGGCGGCAGGCCUAACACAUGCAAGUCGAACGCUGUAGCAAUACAGAGUGGCAGACGGGUGAGUAACGCGUGGGAACCUACCCUUUGGUUCGGAAUAGCUUAGGGCAACUUGAGGUAAUACCGGAUAAGCCCUUCGGGGGAAAGAUUUAUCGCCAAAGGAUGGGCCCGCGUCGGAUUAGCUAGUUGGUGGGGUAACGGCCUACCAAGGCGACGAUCCGUAGCUGGUCUGAGAGGAUGAUCAGCCACACUGGGACUGAGACACGGCCCAGCCUGCUACGGGAGGCAGCAGUGGGGAAUAUUGGACAAUGGGGGCAACCCUGAUCCAGCCAUGCCGCGUGAGUGACGAAGGUCUUCGGAUUGUAAAGCUCUUUUGGCGGGGAAGAUAAUGACGGUACCCGCAGAAUAAGCCCCGGCUAACUUCGUGCCAGCCGCCGCAGUAA